AGAUACAGACUAUAAUAGGACUGUAGGAAUACUUUUGAUGAGAAGAAAGAAGAGCAACCAAAACAACAAUCAGAUAAAAGAAAUUUGAGUCUGAGGUACAGGUUUUCAUUUUAAGUUGCUGAUUUCCCUGAAAGCUGAACUACUUGAGACUUGGAGGCAUCUACAUGUUUUGUGCUUGCCAAUUACUCACACAAGGAAGUCCUUGAUUUAUGACCAGAAUUGAGUCUGGAAUUCUGAUCAAAAGUUGUGGCAAUCAUUAUGCAAGUGACCAUGUGACCAGAGGAUAAGGUGGAUCAAGCAAAAUGCAGGAAAAAGAGUAAUACACAAAAGAAUAAGUAUGAAAUGAAGAUCCUUCUCUGUGGGGGCUCCCACACUCUGGAACGAACUUCCCCCGGGUCUACGCCAAAUACCUGACCUUCGGACCUUUCGCCGCGAACUGAAGACGCAUCUUUUUAUUCGUGCGGGGCUGGGUUAAUUUUUUAUGGAUUUUAUAGUUAUUAUUAAUUUUAAACGGGAUUUUAGUUUUUAUAUAUUUUUAAAUUUUUAGGCAAAUCAUAAUAAGUUUUUUAAUUUACAUUUUAUAUAUAGUGUCUUGUUUGUUUUUUA